rnacentral:siRNA from 1 species
GCAUGGCCUCUGUGCUGG